CUUGGGGGCUGGACUUCACCAAAGGCUCAGAUCUGUCAGUAACUCUCCAGCUGAAUCUGAUACCUAAUUAACAAGAUAUAAAAGGCUGCCUCACCCUGGGAGGGGUGUCCGUUCAUUGACUCUGGUUCCCUUGUUUGGUUCCUGUUACUCCGUACCUGCGUUCCAGUGAUUCCUGUCUAAUUCCGGCUUCUGACCUUGGCUUUCCUCCUGGACUACUCUGACCUCUGGCUUCCCUUGACCACGCUAAUCCCUGCUGUACUGAGACUUGGAGCACUUUUCCU